GGUUCCUCUCCUGUUUAACUUGGCUAAGGACGGACACUUGGAUGGCUUUCCCCACUGCACAGGACACCAUCUGCAUCAGCCUCCGGUUUUCCUAUGGAACUGUGUAUUUAACAUUCUUCAUCCUGAGAUGUUAAUGGGACUGAUGUCAGCAUCCACUCAGCACAGUUUUGCCAUCCAGCAUCUCGGCUCUUGUUACGGUUAAUGGAAAGGAGAGCAUUUAUGUACCUGCAGGAUCUUUUCCUAGUGUCCUCUGAUACAUAAAGAAGAUUUGUGAAACAAACAAAAGCUUCUCUAAGGGGAGAAGGACUGGACUAGAGGUACCUUCACACAUCGGAGAGUCCGUGGUUCCAUGAUUCUGUAUUCAAAGAAAGCCCUUCUGGAGUAGCAUGGAGACAAAAUAACUUCUCUGAUAGGAGAGGAACGAGUGAAAUGGCACCAAUUUAUCUUGAGACAAGCAAGAAAGGAAGCAGAAAAAGGCAUGAAAUGUUCCAGGUACCUGUCCCAGAAAAGAAGAAGAACAGCAUACCCCGGAGGACUUUGCAUUCAGAGAGGAGAUAAAACACCUGGCAAAGUCAAGGGACCUAGCUCUCUUCCCUUCUGCUCGCCCUGACUGCACAUCUCAUCUCAGCAUUAGAGCACGGAUCUGUGGGUCCCUCUGUCCCACUAGUCACAGAACUGGGCCAAACCAGCCCAUAAACCUUUGACAGUGUCUGACAUGGAAACAUACAUGAAGCAAAGGUGUGUCACUGAAUUCCUCUGUGCAGAAAAAAAUGGCACCCAUUGACACCAGUGCUUGCUGAAUGUUUUUUAUGGAGAUCAAGCACAGUGAACGCAGUGAGGUGAUGAGUGGCACGUUUCAGCAGUGGUUACAGUGACAUGAAAGACAAGACACAUUCCAGAUGGCCAUGUACGGCUUUCACACCACAAAAUGAAGAGCAUCUCAAU
ensembl:lncRNA